rnacentral:rRNA from 1 species
GCUGGCGGCGCNGUCACACAUGAAAGAAGAACGAGAAAGGGGAGCAAUCCCUGAGUACAGUGGCGUACGGUGACCAACACGUGGAUGAUCUACCUUCUGGUGGGGAAUAACCCUGGGAAACCGGGGCUAAUACCGCAUAAGCACGAGAGUGGAAAGCAGCAAUGCGCCGGAAGAGGAGUCCGCGGCCGAUUAGCUAGUUGGCAGGGUAAAAGCCUACCAAGGCAAAGAUCGGUAGCCGGCCUGAGAGGGCACACGGCCACACUGGCACUGAAACACGGGCCAGACUCCUACGGGAGGCAGCAGUGGG